rnacentral:rRNA from 1 species
AGUGAGCGCUGGCGGUAGGCCUAACACAUGCAAGUCGAACGGCAGCACAGUAAGAGCUUGCUCUUACGGGUGGCGAGUGGCGGACGGGUGAGGAAUACAUCGGAAUCUACUUUUUCGUGGGGGAUAACGUAGGGAAACUUACGCUAAUACCGCAUACGACCUACGGGUGAAAGCAGAGGAUCUUCGGACCUUGCGCGAUUGAAUGAGCCGAUGUCGGAUUAGCUAGUUGGCGGGGUAAAGGCCCACCAAGGCGACGAUCCGUAGCUGGUCUGAGAGGAUGAUCAGCCACACUGGAACUGAGACACGGUCCAGACUCCUACGGGAGGCAGCAGUGGGGAAUAUUGGACAAUGGGCGCAAGCCUGAUCCAGCCAUACCGCGUGGGUGAAGAAGGCCUUCGGGUUGUAAAGCCCUUUUGUUGGGAAAGAAAAGCAGCAGGUUAAUACCCCGCUGUUCUGACGGUACCCAAAGAAUAAGCACCGGCUAACUUCGUG